rnacentral:rRNA from 1 species
GGGCCCGCACAAGCGGCGGAGCAUGCGGAUUAAUUCGAUGCAACGCGAAGAACCUUACCAAGGCUUGACAUAUAGAGGAAAAGUGCAGAAAUGCACUCCCCGCAAGGUCUCUAUACAGGUGGUGCAUGGUUGUCGUCAGCUCGUGUCGUGAGAUGUUGGGUUAAGUCCCGCAACGAGCGCAACCCUCGUCCUAUGUUGCCAGCACGUAAUGGUGGGAACUCAUGGGAUACUGCCGGUGCAAACCGUGAGGAAGGUGGGGACGACGUCAAAUCAUCACGGCCCUUACGUCCUGGGCCACACACGUGCUACAAUGGUAGGUACAGAGGGAAGCCACCCCGCGAGGGGAGCGGA